AUGCUGGGCUCUGCUCUCCGUCGUUGCGCUGUAACCGCGGCCACCCAGCUGGCCCUCAAGGCCUCCUGUACGACGCCCCGGCCCCCGACCCCGCCGCCGCUAUCCGUUCAGUUCGUUGCUUUUCUCAUGGGUCACAUGAGACAGAUGAGGAGUUUGAUGCUCGCUGGGUGACAUACUUCAACAAACCAGAUAUAGAUGCCUGGGAAUUGAGUAAAGGGAUGAACACGCGUGUUGGCUAUGAUCUGGUUCCAGAACCCAAAAUCACUGAUGCUGCUUUCCGGGCAUGCAGAUGGUUAAAUGAUUUUGCUAGUGCAGUUCGCAUCCUAGAGGUUGUUAAGGACAAAGCAGGACCUCAUAAGGAAAUCUACCCCUAUGUCAUCCAGGAACUUAGACCAACUUUAAAUGAAUUGGAAAUCUCCACUCCAGAGGAACUGGGCCUUGACAAAGUAUAAACCUCAUGGAUGUGCUUCCUAAGGAUUUAUUGGUAUUGCUACUUGAUUGUAAACAGUUACCUGGAAAUACUGAUGAUAACAUAUUACCUUAUUUGAACAAGUUUUCCUUUAUUGAGUACCAAACUAUGUAAUGGUAAUUUGGACUUUAAUAAAAGGGAAAUGAAUUUGAACUGAAAACAAAAAUA